GGGGCAAUGGCGCAUCUGGGAGCGCGUCAGACUGAAGACUUCCUGGAACAGGAAGUCCGAUAUCUGGAGGUGGCCGGUUCAAGCCCGGCUUGCCCCA